AUGGCGGCCAGAGCGGGGCGGGGCGAGGCGGUCCCUGGGAGGGAGAAAAGGGCUGGCUGCCCCAGUACAAGUGCUCAUGUGACUGGGAAGAUGGCCGUCUUUCCCUGGCAUUCCAGGAGCAGGAACUACAAGGCUGAGUUUGCAUCAUGCCGGCUCGAGGCUGUGCCAUUGGAGUUUGGGGACUAUCACCCGCUGAAGCCCAUAACGGUCACGGAGUCGAAGACCAAGAAAGUGAGCCGGAAAGGUAGCACUUCUUCCACGUCCUCCUCGUCCUCCAGCUCCGUGCUAGACCCGCUGAGCAGCGUGCUGGACGGGACCGACCCCCUCUCCAUGUUCGCGGCCACGGUGGACCCCGCAGCCACGGACAGCUCUAGAAAGAGACGAGACAGAGACGAGAACUCCAUCGUAGGAUCCGACUUCGAGCCCUGGGCCAACAAACGAGGAGAAAUCCUUGCCCGGUACACCACCACAGAAAAGCUCUCCAUCAAUCUGUUUAUGGGAUCUGAAAAAGGCAAAGCGGGGACUGCCACAUCCGCCAUGUCGGAGAAGGUUCGGACCAGGCUAGAGGAGCUGGAUGACUUUGAAGAGGGAUCCCAAAAGGAACUGUUGAAUUUGACUCAACAGGAUUAUGUGAACCGCAUUGAGGAGCUCAACCAGUCGCUGAAGGACGCCUGGGCCUCGGACCAGAAAGUGAAGGCUCUAAAAAUAGUCAUCCAGUGUUCAAAGCUUCUUUCAGACACAGGCGUUAUUCAGUUCUACCCAAGCAAAUUUGUCCUUAUCACCGACAUACUUGAUACAUUUGGAAAGCUCGUGUAUGAACGCAUCUUCUCCAUGUGUGUGGAUAACCGCAGCGUCUUACCAGAUCACUUCUCUCCAGAGAAUGUAAAUGACACGGCCAAAGAAACAUGCUUAAAUUGGUUUUUCAAGAUUGCUUCCAUCAGGGAACUCAUUCCAAGAUUUUAUGUGGAAGCAUCCAUCCUGAAGUGUAACAAGUUCCUCUCCAAAACGGGGAUUUCAGAAUGUCUGCCCCGGCUGACGUGCAUGAUUCGCGGGAUCGGAGACCCGCUCGUGUCCGUGUACGCCAGGGCCUAUCUGUGCCGGGUGGGAAUGGAAGUGGCUCCACAUCUCAAAGAAAGCCUGAAUAAGAACUUUUUUGACUUCCUCCUCACAUUCAAACAGAUUCAUGGGGAUACGGUUCAGAACCAGCUGGUGGUCCAGGGAGUGGAGCUGUUGUCCUACCUGCCCUUGUACUCGCCUGCUAUGGACUGGAUCUUCCAGUGCAUCUCCUACCAUGCCCCCGAGACUCUGCUAACUGAGAUGAUGGAUAGAUGCAAGAAACUAGGAAACAACGCCUUGCUGUUGAAUUCUGUGAUGUCAGCUUUCCGGGCCGAGUUCAUCGCCACGAGGUCCAUGGAUUUCAUUGGCAUGAUUAAAGAGUGUGAUGAGUCAGGUUUCCCUAAGCAUCUCCUUUUUCGCUCAUUGGGGUUAAACUUGGCCUUGGCUGACCCUCCUGAGGGCGAUCGACUCCAGAUUCUCAAUGAAGCUUGGAAAGUCAUCACUAAGUUGAAGAAUCCACAGGACUACAUUAACUGUGCCGAAGUGUGGGUGGAGUACACUUGCAAGCAUUUCACGAAACGAGAGGUGAAUACUGUUCUGGCUGAUGUCAUCAAGCACAUGACUCCAGAUCGUGCAUUUGAAGACUCCUACCCUCAGCUUCAUUCAAUAAUUAAGAAAGUGAUUGCCCACUUCCACGAUUUCUCCGUUCUUUUCUCAGUGGAAAAAUUUUUGCCGUUUCUGGACAUGUUUCAGAAAGAGAGUGUGCGGGUGGAGGUUUGCAAGUGCAUCAUGGAAGUUUUUAUCAAGCAUCAGCAAGAGCCCACAAAGGACCCUGUGAUUCUGAAUGCCCUUUUGCACGUGUGCAAGACCAUGCAUGACUCUGUAAAUGCACUCACUCUUGAGGAUGAGAAAAGAAUGCUGGCAUAUUUGAUUAAUGGAUUUAUAAAAAUGGUUUCCUUUGGCCGUGAUUUUGAACAACAGCUCAGUUUUUAUGUUGAGGCUAGGUCCAUGUUUUGCAACCUGGAACCUGUUCUUGUGCAGUUGAUUCACAGUGUAAACCGGUUGGCAAUGGAAACAAGGAAAGUAAUGAAAGGAAAUCAUUCCAGAAAGACAGCUGCCUUUGUCCGGGCCUGUGUUGCAUACUGCUUCAUCACCAUUCCCUCCUUGGUGGGCAUCUUCACGCGCCUCAAUCUCUACCUGCAUUCUGGUCAGGUUGCCUUGGCCAACCAGUGCCUCUCCCAAGGAUCAUCCCGAACAUGGGGUCCUGUUUCUUGUUCGAGAGCUUCUCAACGUGAUCCAGGACUACACCUGGGAGGACAGCAGUGACGAUAAAAUCCGCAUCUACACCUGCGUCCUGCACCUGCUCUCCGCCAUGAGCCAGGAGACCUACCUCUACCACAUAGACAAAGUUGACUCCAACGACAGCCUGUAUGGGGGAGACUCCAAGUUUCUGGCAGAAAACAACAAGCUCUGUGAGACGGUGAUGGCUCAGAUCCUGGAGCACCUGAAAACCUUGGCCAAGGAUGAGGCUUUGAAGCGCCAAAGCUCCCUGGGCCUUUCCUUCUUUAAUAGUAUCUUGGCACAUGGAGACCUGCGCAACAAUAGACUCAACCAGCUCUCUGUCAACCUGUGGCACUUGGCACAGAGACACGGCUGUGCAGAUACCAGGACCAUGGUGAAAACUCUGGAAUACAUCAAAAAGCGAAGCAAACAACCAGAUAUGGGUCAUCUGACUGAACUGGCCCUCAGGCUCCCUCUGCAAACAAGGACCUGACUAGGGCUGUGAAGUCAAGUCCAGAAAGACCUGCUUUGCUUUUUUUAUUUUUACAUAUACAAGUGGUUUCAGCUUUGGCCUCUACCCAGAUUAUUGUGACAGUGAAGAAGUAGGAAUUGUUCAGAGCAUUAAAAUCCAAUCUUGUUCACAAGAAUAGCAGUGUCUUUGCGCAAGUGGCCUUCAGAUCAACCUUUAUUGAGAAACAGAAGAACACAAGUAACAUCUGUCACGUGUGUUUUUUAACUAGAAAAACCCUGAAAAGGGGUCUAGUUUUAAAGAGCCACUGUUACCUAAUUUGAGGGCCUCAAGUCUGGAAUUGAAAGUUGCCUAAACCACCACAGAAGAUUGAUAAAAGGUAGAUGAUGCAAUUAACUUUUCUAUCAAAAGGCAGCUCUGGAUAGGACUUCAGAAUAUACUGGUUUAUACCUAGCUCUCAGUGGCAACACAGAAGAUGCGAGUGCAGCAGCUCACGCAUACGUGGGCACAGCAGGGCAUGCAUGAGCACCACCAGCAGGCACCCCCACUGCACCCACUGGAACUCCUGGGAGGAUGGCACAGUAAGGUUGUGAACUCACCUUUCCCACGGACACACUAAUGAUGCAGCUACACAACAUGCAACUCACUCAGUUCCAAAGACUUAGCAGAACAGCUCUUAACACAGCUAAAGACAAAAAGCUACACUGAGAAGGGUAGGAGGGGCAGAGAUAAGGUCAAGAACCACAUCCUGGGCACAGUGACUCAUAAAGUGGGAGGGAUAUCACUCAUAAGUGGCAAGAGUCAAGCCUCUCAUAGGGUGGGGUCUGCAGCACCAGGAAGAUGAGCUCCCAUAAUGUUGAGCUGUGGAAAUCUGUGGGGCUUAACUCUGGGAGAGCCAAAGGCUAUAGAAAACUGAGGGUCUACUCUUAAUCACUCUGAGACCCGAGGUAGCAGUUUGAAAAGUACUGGGUUACACAUGAAGGACAUUUACUAAUUUUAGGGCAUGUGCUGGGAGGGGCAACAAUCUGUAGGAAUUUUCUCUGGGAAUGGAAGAGUUUGCAGGUCACUUUCUACUUUGCUAGCACCACUGGCACUGACCAGGCAUUAAUCUUUGGACUCACCUUCCCAACAGGCACAGCUUGCGCCUACCACAAUGCUCAGAGCAAUUGUGGCCAAAUCUCACUGCUACCCACCAGUGCGUACACAGCCCAUACAGGGGACGUGCCUGGAGUACCUGGUUCUGGUGGCCAGGGGAGACAGCACUAUUGGCCCCCACAGGAUGCCUCCUACAGAAGGCCACUACCUUAAAGACCAGAUGUAGCUGACCUACUAAAUACAGAGUAGACAAAAUGGAGUAAGUUCCAAACAAAAGAACCAAAACAAAACCUCAAAAAUGAACCAGAGAUGCCCUUCCUGAUAAAAGAGUUCAAAGUAUCAGCCAUAAAGAUGCUAGCUGGACUUGAAUUCAGUGAGAACUUUAAUAAAGAGAUAGAAAAUAUAAAAAAGAUUGAGCUGAAUACAAUAACAAAUGAAAAAUACCCUCUAGUGUAUCAAUAUCAUAGAAGGUGCAGAAAAAUGAAUCAGCAAUCUGGAACACAAGGUAUUAGAAAUCAAGCUGAACAUUUGCAUUACAAACAUCCCAGGAGAGAAGAAAAAAUGGACACAAAACUUACCAUAUAAUAACUGAUAACUUCUAUAACCUAGAGAAGAAAAUGGACAUCUAGCACCAGGAAGAACAGAAAGCCCCAAACAAGAUGAAUCCAAAGAGGUCCAUACCAAGACACAUGAUACAGUUGGCUCUUUUAACAACACAAGUCCACUUACAUGUAGAUAUUUUUUCUAUGCAGUACAGAACUAUAUUCUCUCUUCUGAUUUAAUUUUUUCUCUAGCUUUAAAAAUACAGUAUAUAACAGAAAAUGUGUGUCCAUCAGCUGUUUAAGGCUUCUGGUCAACAGUAGGCUAUUAGUAAACUUGGGGGGAGUCAAGAGUUAUAUGUGGAUUUUCAACUGCACAGGGGAUUGGUGCCCCUAACCCCUGCAUUGUUAGGGGUCAACUGUAGUUACAAUGUCAAUAAUUAAUGAAAACCUUAAAAGCAACAGGAGAAAAGCAACUAAUAACAUACAAAGGAAACCCCCACGAGGCUAUCAACUGCUUUUUCAGCAAAAACUGUGUGCCAGAAAGGAAUGGUGUGAUCUAUUCCAAGUGCUGAAAAGAAAAAACCUACAGCCAAGAAUACCCGUCAAGAUUAUCAUUCAGAAUUGCAGGAGAAAUAAGUUUCCCAAACAAAAGUUAGAGUUCAUCACCACUAACCCAGCCUUACAAGAAAUGUUAAGGGGACUUCUUUAAGUGUAAAAGGACAUAACUAGAAGAAAAUUAUGAAAGAAAAAAUUUCACUGGUAAAAACAUACAGUAAAGGUAGUAGAUCAAUUAUUUAUAAUAGUACGAAGGUUAAAAGACAAAAGUAGUAUCAAUUUUAUCUACCAUAAUUAGUUAAUGGGUACACAAAAUAAAAAGAUGUAAAGUAUGACACCAAAUACAUAAAAUGUGGGAGGGCAGUAAAAAUGUAGUGCUUUUAGAAUAUGUUCAAACUGAAGUGACCAUUAAAAUAGACUGCUAAAUACAUUGUUAUAUAUGAACCUCAUGGUAGCCUAAAACCUGUAAUAGACACAAAAUGUGAAGGAAUCUAAGCAUAAAACUAAAAGUCAUCAAACGAAAGCAGGAGAAAAGAACAGAAACAACCAGAAAGCAAAUAAAAUGGAAGUACAGCUGACCCCUGAACAGCAUAGGGUUGAACUGUACAUGGAUUUUUUUUUAUAAAAAAAUGUAUUUCUUAUGAUUUUCUUACUUUAAGAAUACUAGUACAUCUAACAUACAAAAUAUGUGUUAAUCAACUAUUUAUGUUACCAAGCAAGGCUCCUGGUCAACAGAAGGCUAUUAAUAGUUAAAUUUUGGGGCACUCACAAGUUUUAUGUGGAUUUUCAACUGCAUGGAUAUAGUCAGUAUCCCUAACCACCACCUUAUUCAAGGGCAAAUGUAUUUAUCAAUAAUUACUUUAAAUGUAAACAGACUAAAUGCUCCAAUCAAAAGACAUAGAGUAACUGAAUGAUUAAAAAAAAAAAAGACAUCCAUAUGAAGACUCACUUCAGACCACAAGAUCUAGCAAUCAAAAGAAAAAAAUUCGAAAAACCACAAACACAUAGACACUGAACAACAUGGUACUGAACAACCAAUGGGUCAAUGAAGAAACCAAAAAGGAAAUUAAAAAAUACCUUGACACAAAUAAUAAUGGAAAUACAAUGUUCCAAAAUCUUUGGAACACAGAAAAAACAGUUCUAAGAUAGAAAUUUAUAGCGAUACAGAUCUACCUCAAGAAACAAGAAAAAUAACACAAUCUAACCUUACAACUAAAGGAACUAGAAAAAGAACAAACAAACCCAAAGUUAGUAGAAGGAAUGAAAUAAUGAAGA